rnacentral:rRNA from 1 species
CUACGGAGGGUGCAAGCGUUGUUCGGAAUCACUGGGCGUAAAGGGCGCGCAGGCGGUUUGGUAAGUCAGAUGUGAAAGCCCACGGCUCAACCGUGGAAGUGCAUUUGAAACUGCCAGACUUGAGUACCAGAGGGGAAAGUGGAAUUCCCGGUGUAGAGGUGAAAUUCGUAGAUAUCGGGAGGAAUACCGGUGGCGAAGGCGACUUUCUGGCUGGAUACUGACGCUGAGGCGCGAAAGCGUGGGGAGCAAACAGGAUUAGAUACCCUAGUAGUCC